rnacentral:tRNA from 4 species
GAUGGACCCUAAAAAGUCCUUUAGACA